rnacentral:rRNA from 1 species
UAGGGAAUCUUCGGCAAUGGACGAAAGUCUGACUGAGCAACGCCGCGUGAGUGAAGAAGGUUUUCGGAUCGUAAAACUCUGUUGUUAGAGAAGAACAAGGACGUUAGUAACUGAACGUCCCCUGACGGUAUCUAACCAGAAAGCCACGGCUAACUACGUGCCAGCAGCCGCGGUAAUUCGUAGGUGGCAAGCGUUGUCCGGAUUUAUUGGGCGUAAAGCGAGCGCAGGCGGUUUCUUAAGUCUGAUGUGAAAGCCCCCGGCUCAACCGGGGAGGGUCAUUGGAAACUGGGAGACUUGAGUGCAGAAGAGGAGAGUGGAAUUCCAUGUGUAGCGGUGAAAUGCGUAGAUAUAUGGAGGAACACCAGUGGCGAAGGCGGCUCUCUGGUCUGUAACUGACGCUGAGGCUCGAAAGCGUGGGGAGCAAACAGG